rnacentral:rRNA from 1 species
CCUACGGGAGGCAGCAGUGGGGAAUAUUGGACAAUGGGGGGAACCCUGAUCCAGCCAUGCCGCGUGUGUGAAGAAGGCCCUCGGGUUGUAAAGCACUUUCAGUGAGGAAGAACGCCUGGUGGUUAAUACCCAUCAGGAAAGACAUCACUCACAGAAGAAGCACCGGCUAACUCCGUGCCAGCUGCCGCGGUAAUACGGAGGGUGCGAGCGUUAAUCGGAAUUACUGGGCGUAAAGCGCGCGUAGGUGGCUUGAUAAGCCGGUUGUGAAAGCCCCGGGCUCAACCUGGGAACGGCAUCCGGAACUGUCAAGCUAGAGUGCAGGAGAGGAAGGUAGAAUUCCCGGUGUAGCGGUGAAAUGCGUAGAGAUCGGGAGGAAUACCAGUGGCGAAGGCGGCCUUCUGGACUGACACUGACACUGAGGUGCGAAAGCGUGGGUAGCAAACAGGAUUAGAUACCCCAGUAGUC